rnacentral:rRNA from 1 species
CCAAAAACGGAGUAAAAUCCUUUUUAGAAAAAUUUUCUACUAAACUUGAUAGGAAAAAUUAUUUGUAUACUAUACAAGAUUAUGGAAAUUAAAUGUAUUACCAGUCUAUAACAUUAAAAAAUUAUAUAACUAUAAAUCUAGUAAAGCUUUAUCUACUAAGGUUAAUACGGUGCCAGCAACCGCGGUCAAACCUUAUUAAUAAAUAAUUGUGUAUAAAUCUAUUUACCCCACAAAAAAAUUAAAAAAAACUAAUAUACAGUGAAAUGUAAUUAAAGUCUAUUUCUAAAAAAUUCUUAGGUUGCAGAAAAUAAGUUUUUAAAACUAGGAUUAGAUACCCUACUAUUCUUAUAAUAUUUAAAUUUGAUUUGAGGAGUAAAACUACCUUUUAAACUCAAAAGUCAUGGCGGCUGCUAAAACUAAUUAGGGGAGCUUACCAAAUAAUUGAUAACCACCAAGAAUUUAUUUCUUUAAUUUAAAGUUUGUAUGCCGUCGUCGAAAAUUUUUCUAAGAAAAAUUUCUUUUAACCUUCUCAAAAUUUUUAAGACAGAUCAAGGUGCAACUAAUAUUAAUGAUUUCGGCGAGCUACAAUGCUUAAAUUUCUUUCGGAUUCAAACUUAAAAAGUUAGCUGAAGUUGGACUUAAAAGUAAACUUAUAAAUAGUAAUUAAUACUUGAAUACUAUAUUUAGCAGUGC